rnacentral:rRNA from 1 species
AGUUGCAGGGUAUAGACCCGAAACCCGGUGAUCUAGCCAUGGGCAGGUUGAAGGUUGGGUAACACUAACUGGAGGACCGAACCGACUAAUGUUGAAAAAUUAGCGGAUGACUUGUGGCUGGGGGUGAAAGGCCAAUCAAACCGGGAGAUAGCUGGUUCUCCCCGAAAGCUAUUUAGGUAGCGCCUCGUGAACUCAUCUUCGGGGGUAGAGCACUGUUUCGGCUAGGGGGUCAUCCCGACUUACCAACCCGAUGCAAACUACGAAUACCGAAGAAUGUUAUCACGGGAGACACACGGCGGGUGCUAACGUUCGUCGUGAAGAGGGAAACAACCCAGACCGCCAGCUAAGGUCCCAAAGUCAUGGUUAAGUGGGAAACGAAGUGGGAAGGCUCAGACAGCCAGGAUGUUGGCUUAGAAGCAGCCAUCAUUUAAAGAAAGCGUAAUAGCUCACUGGUCGAGUCGGCCUGCGCGGAAGAUGUAACGGGGCUAAACCAUGCACCGAAGCUGCGGCAGCGACAUGUAAAUGUUGUUGGGUAGGGGAGCGUUCUGUAAGCCUGUGAAGGUGUGCUGCGAGGCAUGCUGGAGGUAUCAGAAGUGCGAAUGCUGACAUAAGUAACGAUAAUGCGGGUGAAAAACCCGCACGCCGGAAGACCAAGGGUUCCUGUCCAACGUUAAUCGGGGCAGGGUGAGUCGACCCCUAAGGCGAGGCAGAAAUGCGUAGUCGAUGGGAAACAGGUUAAUAUUCCUGUACUGGUGAUAAUUGCGAUGGGGGGACGGAGAAGGCUAGGCUGGCCGGGCGACGGUUGUCCCGGUUUAAGGAUGUAGGUGGGUGAAUUAGGCAAAUCCGGUUCGCUAUACACUGAGGUCUGAUGACGAGUCACUACGGUGGCGAAGUAGCUCAUGCCCCGCUUCCAGGAAAAGCCUCUAAGCUCUAGAUUAUCAUUAAUCGUACCCCAAACCGACACAGGUGGUCAGGUAGAGAAUACUCAGGCGCUUGAGAGAACUCGGGUGAAGGAACUAGGCAAAAUGGUGCCGUAACUUCGGGAGAAGGCACGCUGGCACUAGGUGAAGUGGUUUACCCAUGGAGCUGAAGCCAGUCGCAGAUACCAGCUGGCUGCAACUGUUUAUUAAAAACACAGCACUGUGCAAACACGAAAGUGGACGUAUACGGUGUGACGCCUGCCCGGUGCUGGAAGGUUAAUUGAUGGGGUUAUCCGUAAGGAGAAGCUCUUGAUCGAAGCCCCAGUAAACGGCGGCCGUAACUAUAACGGUCCUAAGGUAGCGAAAUUCCUUGUCGGGUAAGUUCCGACCUGCACGAAUGGCGUAAUGAUGGCCAGGCUGUCUCCACCCGAGACUCAGUGAAAUUGAACUCGCUGUGAAGAUGCAGUGUACCCGCGGCAAGACGGAAAGACCCCGUGAACCUUUACUAUAGCUUGACACUGAACAUUGAGCCUUGAUGUGUAGGAUAGGUGGGAGGCUUUGAAGUGUGGACGCCAGUCUGCAUGGAGCCAACCUUGAAAUACCACCCUUUAAUGUUUGAUGUUCUAACGUAGCCCCAUAAUCUGGGGUGCGGACAGUGUCUGGUGGGUAGUUUGACUGGGGCGGUCUCCUCCCAAAGCGUAACGGAGGAGCACGAAGGUUGGCUAAGCAUGGUCGGACAUCAUGCGGUUAGUGCAAAGGCAUAAGCCAGCUUGACUGCGAGAGUGACGGCUCGAGCAGGUACGAAAGUAGGUCUUAGUGAUCCGGUGGUUCUGAAUGGAAGGGCCAUCGCUCAACGGAUAAAAGGUACUCCGGGGAUAACAGGCUGAUACCGCCCAAGAGUUCAUAUCGACGGCGGUGUUUGGCACCUCGAUGUCGGCUCAUCACAUCCUGGGGCUGAAGUAGGUCCCAAGGGUAUGGCUGUUCGCCAUUUAAAGUGGUACGCGAGCUGGGUUUAGAACGUCGUGAGACAGUUCGGUCCCUAUCUGCCGUGGGCGUUGGAAGAUUGAAAGGGGCUGCUCCUAGUACGAGAGGACCGGAGUGGACGCACCGCUGGUGUUCGGGUUGUCAUGCCAAUGGCACUGCCCGGUAGCUAAGUGCGGAAGAGAUAACCGCUGAAAGCAUCUAAGCGGGAAACUUGCCUUGAGAUGAGUCUUCCCUGACUCUUUAAGGGUCCUAAAGGAACGUUUAAGACGAAGACGUUGAUAGGCUGGGUGUGUAAGCGUAGCGAUACGUUGAGCUAACCAGUACUAAUGAACCGUGAGGCUUAACCUG